rnacentral:miRNA from 1 species
AUGUGGGGGCAUUGGUAUUUUC